rnacentral:lncRNA from 1 species
CCAGAAUAAAAGUAUGCAGAAGGAUCAUGUUCACCUGGUUGAGUCGGUUCUCAGUUUUUGACACAAGCUAAAGGAGGCCAAUGAUAAUUGGUGAGCAUGAAGAGAUGAUGACAGGCUGAUGACAUCAGCUUUUUCCUCCGGAAAUCAACCUUCCUUGAAGCUGUGUUGGUUGGAUUCUCCAGGGGUAGACACCAAGAGAGUUAGAAGUGAAAGAGAUUUAUUGGGGAAAAUGCCUAUGAAAGACAAAGGGAAGGAAGAACAGAAGUAGGCAGGAAAAGCCUUCAGACUGGAAUGCUGAUCUGACACCUGUGAAAGGAGAAGAAAAGAAAGGAUAAUCAGGAAGAAAGAUUUUAAGAUGACAGCGCAAUUUGAUGAAAGUGUCAGGCAGCUGAACAGGUUACUCUGGCACAAAGACAUCAAAUAAAGGAGUCUCUCGUUGGACAUAAAUUACCAGAUCCUAUUACCCGGCCAUACUCAGUCAUUUUAAUGGGCUGCCUUGGAAGAACAUGGCCUGGGUUCAAACAUUGCAGCACGCCGUCCUCACAGCUGACCAGAAAAUUCUUUCUUUAAAGGAAAUCCAAGCAGCACACUUCGGUGAUGGCCACAUUCCACCUUGUGUGCUGCAUGAAUCCACUUUUCCAUAUAUGCUUGGGUUAUAGACCUUCCAGGUUCCAAUUGACCUCUCUUUGUGUGGUGAAACUUAGAAGACGGAGAUUAAUGGGACAAACUUUGGGACCUCAUCAUGCCCAUAAUUAUGAACAAGCCAAGUUUAUGACCAUCAACCAAGAACAAUGGUGCCCAUCUCUCCAGUGCAUUCCUGAAGGCCUUGGUGAAUCGCAUGUUUCUUCAAGUUUCCCAUUAAACGGCUGAUGGAUCUUCUGCCCUCACAUAAUAUAUCUGUUCCAGCAUGUCCACUUCCCUGAGCCUUUUCAUCCUUUCCCACACUGUUGGCCAUGCAUGCCUCCAACUGACUUCCUGGGAGACAACAACUCUUCUGAUAUCAUAGGAAUUAAUGUAAUUUACCUUCUGAUGUGAAAGGAAUUUUUAUGUGCCAUAACUUAACUGUCCUCCUGUUGCUUUGUUGUUCUUAUGAAUAUUGCAAACUAUGGAUUAUGUAGGUUAAAAGUGAAUUGCAUUAUGAUUAUGACGUUUUUAUUGUUGAAGUGUCUGAUUUAGUUAUUUGUUAUACCGUUUUGUUUUAUAUUUUAUUAGUGUUUGUAUUUUGCAAUCAAGUCUGAUGGUCCAGUAUGGCAAUUUUUGAAGGAUGUUGGAUGGAAGAGGAUGCUUCUAGAGUUAGGCCUAUGAAUAACUCUCAUACAGUAGGUGAUGAAGAAUUAUAAUCUUCUUGGUUAUUUCAGUGCACUAGUACAUCAAGGGAGACCCCCAGAAAAGUUCUUUCAUUACAAGUGAAAAUAUUUAUCAAUGGAUUUUGC